AACGAACGCUGGCGGCAUGCCUAACACAUGCAAGUCGAACGAGACCUUCGGGUCUAGUGGCGCACGGGUGUGUAACGCGUGGGAACCUGCCCUUAGGUUCGGAAUAACUCCCCGAAAGGGGUGCUAAUACCGGACAAUGUCUUCGGACCAAAGAUUUAUCGCCUUUGGAUGGGCCCGCGUUGGAUUAGCUGGUUGGUAGGGUAAAAGCCUACCAAGGCGACGAUCCAUAGCUGGUCUGAGAGGAUGAUCAGCCACACUGGGACUGAGACACGGCCCAGACUCCUACGGGAGGCAGCAGUGGGGAAUAUUGGACAAUCGGCGAAAGCCUGAUCCAGCAAUGCCGCGUGAGUGAUGAAGGCCUUAGGGUUGUAAAGCGCUUUUACCCGGGAUGAUAAUGACAGUACCGGGAGAAUAAGCUCCGGCUAACUCCGUG
rnacentral:rRNA from 1 species